AUACGGAGGGUGCGAGCGUUGUCCGGAAUGAUUGGGCGUAAAGGGCGCGUAGGCGGCCCGGUAAGUCUGGAGUGAAAGUCCUGUUUUUAAGAUGGGAAUUGCUUUGGAUACUGUCGGGCUUGAGUGCAGGAGAGGUAAGUGGAAUUCCCAGUGUAGCGGUGAAAUGCGUAGAGAUUGGGAGGAACACCAGUGGCGAAGGCGACUUACUGGACUGUAACUGACGCUGAGGCGCGAAAGUGUGGGGAGCAAACAGGAUUAGAUACCCUGGUAGUCCACACUGUAAACGAUGAAUGCUAGGUGUAAGAGGUAUCGACCCCUGUUGUGCCGGAGUCAACACAAUAAGCAUUCCGCCUGGGGAGUACGGCCGCAAGGUUGAAACUCAAAGGAAUUGACGGGG
rnacentral:rRNA from 1 species